AUGACUAUGCUGGCUAAAGAGAGAAAAGUGCUUGCAAAAGUUAGGAGAACACCAAAAAGGCUCUACAUUCUGAAUAUUGAGCAGCCUGAUCCAGUUUGUCUACUGUCAAAGACUUCAGAGCUUCCCUGGUUGUGGCAUGCACGCUAUGGGCAUAUAAGCUUUAGUGCUUUGAAACUGCUAGCAAAGGAGGCCAUGGUGCGUGGCUUACCAACGAUUGAUCAAAUUGAUCGUUUGUGUGAAACUUGUCUGGUUGGAAAGCAAAGACGAGCGUCGUUUCCAGCUGAAGCAUCCUACAGAGCAGAUCGAGCGCUGCAGGUACUGCAUGGUGAUAUUUGUGGUCCCGUCUCG
rnacentral:rRNA from 1 species